ACGAAAAGUAUUCUCUUCAUACGCAUUAACCUUUCGCCUUUUACUAAAGGUUACCGUGGAGGGGAACAUAACAAUAAGCCUAUAGGCAAUUUUUGUAACCCCACGCUUGAUGGGGUU
rnacentral:snRNA from 1 species